rnacentral:rRNA from 1 species
UACAGAGGGUGCGAGCGUUAAUCGGAGUUACUGGGCGUAAAGGGCGCGUAGGCGGUUAUAUAAGUGAGAUGUGAAAUCCCUGGGCUUAACCUAGGAACUGCAUCUCAUACUGUAUGACUGGAGUAUUGUAGAGGGUAGUGGAAUUUCCGGUGUAGCGGUGAAAUGCGUAGAGAUCGGAAGGAACACCAGUGGCGAAGGCGGCUACCUGGACAAAUACUGACGCUGAGGCGCGAGAGCGUGGGGAGCAAACAGGA